rnacentral:rRNA from 1 species
GACGAACGCUGGCGGCGUGCUUAACACAUGCAAGUCGAACGGAAAGGCCCUGCUUUUGUGGGGUGCUCGAGUGGCGAACGGGUGAGUAACACGUGAGUAACCUGCCCUUGACUUUGGGAUAACUUCAGGAAACUUGUGCUCAUACCGGAUAGGAGCUCCUGCUGCAUGGUGGGGGUUGGAAAGUUUCGGCGGUUGGGGAUGGACUCGCGGCUUAUCAGCUUGUUGGUGGGGUAGUGGCUUACCAAGGCUUUGACGGGUAGCCGGCCUGAGAGGGUGACCGGCCAAAUUGGGACUGAGAUACGGCCCAGACUACAACGGGAGGCAGCGGAGGGGAAUAUUGCACAAUGGGAGGAAGCCUGACGCAGCAAAGCCGCGUGCGGGAUGACGGGCUGCGGGUAGUAAACCGCUAUCGUCUGUGACGAAGCGUGAGUGACGGUAAUGGGUAAAGAAGCACCGGCUAACUACGUG